rnacentral:lncRNA from 1 species
GUGGUGCAAUUCAGCAGACAGGGGCUGAGUGCCCGCUGCCCACAGGAUGUGCAAUAAAGCUGGGGAAACAGUGCAGCACACACGGGGGCAACCGUUCCCUCUGAUGGUCGCGGAGCUCACACCCGGGGGAGGUCUUACCCCUGCAGCAAGGGCACGGCUGGAUUUUAGGAAUAUGGCUCUCUUAGCGUGGGAUUCUCGGGCUGUGGAGAUUCCAGUGGGUGGAAGGCCAGGCCCAUCUCACGGUUUAGGGUCCAGGAAGCCCAGGUUCCAUACCAUGGAAAGGCAGCCCCCGGCUUGGGCUGGUCGUGGGCUUUCUCACCUCCUUCUGAGUUCAGCUGGGCUGAGGAGGGCUGAGCUGCCAGGAGCUGGAGUAGCCAAUGAAGACAACAAGCAAAUGUAAGUACCAGUGAAGCUCUCAUCUCCCGCUGUGACCGUGUGUGCUAGAGGCUGACCAGGAAGGCAGCUGCUGGUGGGGCAGGUGGACCAGCAAAGGCGUGGGGGGUGCCUUACUACUAAGGGAGCCUGGAACAAGAGGCUUCUGCAGUUUUAGGGACCCCUGGCAAGAGAAGGGCUGGGGAGGAGAAAGUGCUAGGCGUGGACAAUAACUGAUGCCUGAGGAAGAGUGGGAGAAAGGAUUCCCCUCCCCCAGUAAGGAGAUCUCAGCAGAAAAAUCUGAGCCUGGCCUCUGCUGAAGGCCCCAGAUAGAGGCUCCAGAUGGAGGCACCUGGGCUAGGAGCCAGCUCUGCAUAGAAGCACAGCCCUCUGGGGUAGGGGGUGGGCAGGGGCCAAGAUCCUUGGCUGUAGCUGCCUCCAGAGCCUCCACACACUGGCUGAACCAAGCAUGGCCUGGGGAGGGCCACCCCCAGAGCCUUGGAAUUGCCUGUGGCCCGGCCUGGAAGAUCACAGAGGGGAUUUAGCCAGCAGCCAAUGGCUCCUUUAUAGUGGCUAGAGUGGAUAUGAUUAUAUUCCCAAAAGUAAAGAAGUUAAAUUAGUAAAGUUAACAUUGAUGUGAAAUAUGAAUGUUCAGAAUACAAUAUUUUUUGUUUUUGAGGAUAGUGGACCAAAUUCAGUGUAUGUGAAUAGGUAUGCAUACAUAUCCAAUUAUACAUAUGUUAUAAAUAUUAAUAUUGUCUAUGAUAUAGUAUAUUUAUAAUAUAUAAAUAUGAUAUGUAAUAUAUAAGAUUUAUAACCCAUAUUUUUCUAGAAAACAUAUAUUUAUAAUAUAUAAUAUAUUAAUAUAGAGUACAUAUUUAUAUUGUAUAUAAAUAUAUAAACAAUAUGAAUAUAUAUUUAUAUUAUAUAAUAUAUAGUAUACAUAAUAUGUAUAUGUAUGCAUACCUACUCACAUACACUGAAUUUGGUCUGAAUACACUGAAUAUUUACCAAUAUUUUAUAUAUAAGAUACAUAUUUUGCAGGCUAUAGAUACAUAUAGACUGCAAAAAUACUAUUGCAGUCUAUACUAAAUACUAUAGAUAUAGAGAGACUGCAAAAAUACUAUAGCUCUAAUACUAUAGAUAUGUCUAUACUAAAUACUAUGUAUAUAUUUAUAUACAUAUGGAUUGUAAAAACACUAUUGAAAAAGAACCCUUGCCUCUGACUCUUGUUUCCUUUCCCUUUUUCCUACUACCUGCCCCACACUCAACCUUGAGUAACUCACAAGUCACAAGUGUUGCAAAAACGGUUCUCCAUGGUAACUUCCUGACAGUUAUCAGGUUGGGAUUAAGCCAGAACAAUAUCUACACGUUCCAACCACGGGUAUAGCUGAUGGUGAAGAUGAAACCUGCUCCCUGGAUGAAACCUGCUCCCUCAAUGAAACCACAAGGACACCUGCUGCUCACUUCACCACGUGCCCUGCUUCUGCUCAGAGCGUCACUUGGUCUUCAGGUGCUCCCCAAGGGACAUCUCCAGGGAAGGCUUUCAAACUUUGUUUGAGUCAUAGAAACCAUUUCCUUUUGAUGCUAUGAAAUAAAAGUAUGGGGACCUGAAAGAGGAAAUAGCUGAAGACAUAAUUAAGUUCUUCUCAGAGGAUAUGCUAUCUAAGCUGAGGCCUAAAGGUUGAGUAGGCAUCAAGGAGGCAAACAGUGGGAGGGAAAUAACUGGAGGUUUAGGGAACCUUGUGUCACUGACAUAUUAAAUUUUACACAAUGGCCUCACCAUGGAACUACCCCCCAAAUAAACAUACUCAACACUUCCAGCACCCCAAGACCAUGGAGGUGUCCCUCCCAGAACUUUCCCACUCCAAAAGUAUUCUCAGCCUUUUGUCCCAUAGAUUUCCUUUACUUGUUUUUCUUAAAAUUAACAUAAAUUGAUUAUGCAGUAUGCACACUUUUUUGGCUGACUCUUGUCACUCAAUAUUGUGACUGCACGUGGAGCAGUGGUUUCUUUUUUGACUUCGCUGUAUCAAAUUGCACUGUGUGAAUAUACCCCAAUUUAUCCACUCUGUUUUUGAUGGACUUUUGAGUUGUUUCCAGGUUUUAGCUUUUAUGAAUAAUGCUGCUGUGGACAUUCAUUUGCAUGUCUUUUGCACAUAUGUUUCCAUUUCUUUUGGGUUUGUACCUAUGAUUCAGGUGUUGCUGGGCAUGUGCAGGUCGAGCUUUGCAAGAUGUUGCCGAAAAAACUGAGUGGUGAAAGUUCCUGCAGAAAUUCACUCCCACCACCAGUAUCUGAGAGAAGUUCUGGUUUCUCCACACCCUCGACAGUACUUGGUAUUGUCUUACUGAUUUCUUUUUAAUGUUUGCCUUUUAAGGAGGAGUGUUAUAUCAAAACAAUAUGGUAUAUCAUAUUGUUGGUUUAUAUUCCAUUUCCCUAAUGAAUUUUUAAACAUUUAAUGGUUAUUUAAUGUCCCCCUUUAUAAAAUGACAGUUCAAU